AAAGUCGUAACAAGGUUUCCGUAGGUGAACCUGCGGAAGGAUCAUUACCAAAUAGGCCCUCUCGGCCUCAUUUUUUUCUAUUCUUGUGUAAAACAAUCUGUGGAAGUUAAUCUUCUGCUUUACUAUAUUACUUAUUAAAACUUUCAACAACGGAUCUCUUGGCUCUG
rnacentral:misc_RNA from 1 species